ACUAACUUCUCCUGGCCCCACAG
rnacentral:miRNA from 1 species